CUGCAACCUCAGUGCCUGUUUUGGCCUUUUAGCAAGGCCCUGCAGCCUGGGGAUUUACCAGACUGGAGCUCCCCAGCUCCCUUGCCCUGUUCCCCAGCACUGCUCCACUUCAGGAUAAUGAAGAUAAGCAGAUGGCUCAUGGAUUGGUGCUAUGAGGAAGGUUUCUGGAAGAUCAACCAUUGGGAGACAUUUAUGGAACGAAGACUGUUCUUGACUGAUGGACUCCACUUGAGUACCUAGUGUAUUAAUCUACUAGGAUCAAGGUUGACACGAUUGAUAAGAAGGGCUUUAAACUGGGAAAUGAAGGAAGAGGGUUGGAAGAGACAUGAAAUCUCCAUGCUUGGCUUCAAUACACAGGAGCAGGAAAAUCAGCUAAGAUAUGUUAUGAUGAUAAUAUGGAACAUGGCCAUGAAGGCAGCAUGGCUGAUGGAAAUGAGUGUCUAGACAUGGAAACUACCACAUCUGAGGAGAAUGAACACAUUCAGCUCUUUAAGUUUUUCUAUCAGGAGCCU